rnacentral:antisense_RNA from 1 species
CAUUGCUUUAUGUUCAUUAACUUUGAUUAUCUCCAGCUCAGAACAAAAAACGUAUCCUUGUUCUUUAUCUACUUUUUUAACCAUUGCUUCAAAUUCAGAGAAAGGGCAACCAAAUGUCGAGACAACUAAAGUAUUAGGCAUAGAAAAAGGAGCUAGU